GCGGUAUUAGCUCAGUUGGUAAGAGCGUCGUCCUUCCAAGUCGAAAGCCAUCGGUUCGAGUCCGAUAUGCCGCU
rnacentral:tRNA from 1 species